rnacentral:lncRNA from 1 species
UGUCUAGGUGUAUAAAAUUGUGUCCACCAGAUGGCGGAGUGUCUGUUCGUGAGUGACGAAGCCGCCAUUAGCUUUUGAGACAGUGUACGGGAAUGUGUUGGUGCUUAAUGGUGGUGUUCUUCGAUUUUAAAUUUUAUAAAUGUUUCCACGCCAUUCGACAAAGCUGAAUCGAAAGUGAAUAAUUCUAAAGCAACAUGUCGAAGAUCUUGCCUUUAUCCACGUGAUCGCUGCCGUGUCAUGUAGGUGUGUCUUUGAGAGGGUCUCUACUAUAUUGCAAGACAAAAUGUGAUGAAAACAGGAAAUCUGAAAUGCAUCUGAGUAUGAGCUGCAUCGAGCUGCAUCCAGUUGGUGGAAGUUGUGAACAUAUAUGUUAGCUGUUGCAAUCAGUUUGUGAGGCACCAAUGCAGAAACCAGAAAUGAUAAGCAUGGCGGAUAUCUUGCCUUUCUUAACGUGCGGUGCCGUGUCAGCAAGAUGUCUCUUUGAUGAGAUCUCUAGUUCUCUACUAUGUUGCAGAACAAAAAUGUGAAGAAAACAGGAAAUCUGAAAUGGUUUCCAUGGUCAGUUUGAUGUUUGAGCUGUUUAUGGUGUUGCUGUUUGGUGUGAAGUGGGUUUGCAGUCAUUUUCCACCCGAGAGAUGCGCUGAAAUGGAGCUUUGUCAGACUUGCAGUUCAACAUCAUACUUAGAUUUGUUAUUUCCCUAUGUUUGUGUCCGUGAAUAUUGAGCUGUUGGGCAAAACAGUCAACAGUUAACCUGUUUUGUGUGUGUGUGUGUUGGUGCUGUGUUACGGAAGCUGCAUCAUUGUUUUGUUGAAUUGUCAUUGUGUCUGCAGUUUACCGUUUAUAAGUUAGGAAGGGAAAAAACAGAAUUUUGGGGAAUUUAUAUCAAACAAAUAAUAAACAAGGUUUCGGGAUUGGGAAAGGAAUGUGGAGGUUGUCAGGUGGGAGGGUGAUGACUUGAAUUUUCAUAUCUCAAUAUAUAAUGAGGUAUGUUAAUAUGUACUGACGCGAUAAAUGUGGAU